CAGAGAUGAUGCUGUGCCAGGAAAUAUCAUUCCUCAGAAAAGAUGAUUUUCAAAAAGUUGAGUACUGAAAUGCUGAAGGAAAAGUUAAAGAUCUAAAAACCAAGAAAAAAAAUUCAAAGACAGGGAUUCUGGUUGUGAGAGUUAGAAUACUUUCCAUGAACGCCCAGGUCUGUAUUUUCCCUUUUUACAUUAUGGGAAAUGCUGAUAUAAUAUAGCCAGUCAUGGGUGUUCUAACGAAGGGGGGCCUGGGGAGACAGAGCGGGUUGGGGGAGGGUGCAUGAUAUUGCAGAACUUCACUUAUCUCUGUUGGGGUUUUCCUUUAGUAAUUGCAACCUCAGUCUUACUAUGCUUUAUUCCCAAAUCUCAAUGUUUUUCAUACCCAGGAUGAAGUUUGCCACCUAAUGCAAAUGCAUCUUAGAAGUAUCCCUUUGUGCAAGUGUCUGAAAGAAGAAAUGUUCAACUAUAAGCACAAGAAUGCGGCAACCAUGCUUGUUAAAAUUGGCCUUGAGGACUCCUCAGUAUCUUUGGAGAUCUUAUAUAACACUGUAUGACAUCAAGUAAAAACCCAGCACUUGAAAGAGUAUAGUAGCUAACAUUUACUGAGAACUUACUACAUACUAGUAACAUUUCUUUUUUUUUUUUUUUUUUUUUUGAGACAGAGUCUCCCUCUGUCACCAGGCUGGAGUGCGGUGGCACAAUCCAGGUUCGCUGCAACCUCUGCCUCCCGGGUUCAAGCGAUUCUCCUGCCUCAGCCUCCCGAGUAGCUAGAAUUACAGGCACCCUCCACCACGCCCGGCUAAUUUUUUGUAUUUUUAGUAGAGACGAGGUUUCACUAUGUUGGCCAGGCUGGUCUUGAACUCCUGACCUCGUGAUCCGCCCGCCUUGGCCUCCCAAAGUUCUGGGAUUACAGGCAUGAGCCACUGGGCCUGACCAUACUAGCAACAUUUCUAAGUACUUUACAUGCAUUAAGCCAUGUAAUACACUCGGCUGCCAAAUGAGGUGGGGAGUAAUUUGUCAUCACCAUUUUUUACCCUUUAAAACACUGUCUACAUCUUAGCUUCCUGGCCCUUCAGUAUGGCUGUGUUUAAUCACUAUGAGUCAAAAAAGCAAUCUCAGUGUAACUCUAUGAAGUACUAUAAUUAUUCUUAUUAUCUUACAGAUGGAGAAACUGAGGCAUAGAGAGGCAGGUAAUUUGCCCAAAACCACAAAGCCAGGAAGCCGCAGAAUUUGUAUUCAAGCCCAGAAGUCUGCCUCCUGAUUUCAGCUCUUAAUCCUCCUGAACUCCUGUUUUUCUGCAGAUCUUUUAUCUGCCUCUCCCACCAGGAUAUAUACUCCAGGGCUUUAUGGGUCCAGUUCACCCCUAUAUUCUCAGCACUUAAGGAGGUGCCUGGGGAACUGUGGGCACUCACUAAAUGCUUGUUGAAUUAAAACACUAAUUUGAAAAGUAGUUCUUGAAAUACGAACUUCC
rnacentral:lncRNA from 1 species